AAGUCGUAACAAGGUUUCCGUAGGUGAACCUGCGGAAGGAUCAUUAUAGAGAACUUGCCCUUCGGGGUAGAUCUCCCACCCUUUGUUUACAUUACCUUUGUUGCUUUGACAGGCCCGCCUCUUGAGGCUGCCGGCUCCGGCUGGUCAGUGCUUGUCAGAGGAUUUAAAACUCUUGUUUAAUUGUCGUCUGAGUACUAUAUAAUAGUUAAAACUUUCAACAACGGAUCUCUUGGUUCUG
rnacentral:misc_RNA from 1 species